rnacentral:rRNA from 1 species
GGGUGGUAAUGCCGGAUGCUCCGACAUGACGCAUGUCGUGUCGGGAAAGAUUCAUCGGUAUGGGAUGGGGUCGCGUCCUAUCAGCUUGAUGGCGGGGUAACGGCCCACCAUGGCUUCGACGGGUAGCCGGCCUGAGAGGGCGACCGGCCACAUUGGGACUGAGAUACGGCCCAGACUCCUACGGGAGGCAGCAGUGGGGAAUAUUGCACAAUGGGCGCAAGCCUGAUGCAGCGACGCCGCGUGCGGGAUGACGGCCUUCGGGUUGUAAACCGCUUUUGACUGGGAGCAAGCCCUUCGGGGUGAGUGUACCUUUCGAAUAAGCACCGGCUAACUACGUGCCAGCAGCCGCGGUAAUACGUAGGGUGCAAGCGUUAUCCGGAAUUAUUGGGCGUAAAGGGCUCGUAGGCGGUUCGUCGCGUCCGGUGUGAAAGUCCAUCGCUUAACGGUGGAUCCGCGCCGGGUACGGGCGGGCUUGAGUGCGGUAGGGGAGACUGGAAUUCCCGGUGUAACGGUGGAAUGUGUAGAUAUCGGGAAAGAACACCA